GAUGAACGCUGGCGGCGUGCCUAAUACAUGCCAGUCGAGCGAACAGACGAGGAGCUUGCUCCUCUGACGUUAGCGGCGGACGGGUGAGUAACACGUGGAUAACCUACCUAUAAGACUGGGAUAACUUCGGGAAACCGGAGCUAAUACCGGAUAAUAUAUUGAACCGCAUGGUUCAAUAGUGAAAGACGGUUUUGCUGUCACUUAUAGAUGGAUCCGCGCCGCAUUAGCUAGUUGGUAAGGUAACGGCUUACCAAGGCGACGAUGCGUAGCCGACCUGAGAGGGUGAUAGGCCACACUGGAACUGAGCCACGGUCCAGACUCCUACGGGAGGCAGCAGUAGGGAAUCUUCCGCAAUGGGCGAAAACCUGACGGAGCAACGCCGAGUGAGUGAUGAAGGUCUUCGGAUCGUAAAACUCUGUUAUUAGGGAAGAACAAAUGUGUAAGUAACUAUGCACGUCUUGACGGUACCUAAUCAGAAAGCAACGGCUAACUACGUG
rnacentral:rRNA from 1 species